GACAUCAUAGCCAAGUGGUUACGGCGACAGAUUCGAACGAUACAGCGUAGAUAUCUGUUUCCCUUCGGGAGCGCAGGUUCGAAUCCUGCUGGUGUCG
rnacentral:tRNA from 1 species